rnacentral:rRNA from 1 species
GAUGAACGCUGACAGAAUGCUUAACACAUGCAAGUCAACUUGAACUUCGGUUUGGGUGGCGGACGGGUGAGUAACGCGUAAAGAACUUGCCUCACAGAUAGGGACAACAUUUGGAAACGAAUGCUAAUACCUGAUAUUAUGAUUAUAUGGCAUCGUAUAAUUAUGAAAGCUAUAUGCGCUGUGAGAGAGCUUUGCGUCCCAUUAGCUAGUUGGAGAGGUAGCGGCUCACCAAGGCGAUGAUGGGUAGCCGGCCUGAGAGGGUGAUCGGCCACAAGGGGACUGGGAAACGGCCCGUACUCAUACGGGAGGCAGCAGUGGGGAAUAUUGGACAAUGGACCAAGAGUCUGAUCCAGCAAUUCUGUGUGCACGAUGAAGUUUUUCGGAAUGUAAAGUGCUUUCAGUUGGGAAGAAAAAAAUGACGGUACCAACAGAAGAAGUGACGGCUAAAUACGUG